GACGAAUGCUGGCUGCGUGCUUAACACAUGCAAGUCGAACGGUGAAGGAGGGCUUGCCCUCCGGAUCAGUGGCGAACGGGUGAGUAACACGUGGGCAACCUGCCCCUCACUCUGGGAUAACGCCGGGAAACCGGCGCUAAUACCGGAUACGACCAGGCGCGACAUCUCGCCUGGUGGAAAGAAUUUCGGUGAGGGAUGGGCCCGCGGCCUAUCAGCUAGUUGGGGGGGUAACGGCCCACCAAGGCGACGACGGGUAGCCGGCCUGAGAGGGCGACCGGCCACACUGGGACUGAGACACGGCCCAGACUCCUACGGGAGGCAGCAGUGGGGAAUAUUGCGCAAUGGGCGAAAGCCUGACGCAGCGACGCAGCGUGAGGGACGAAGGCCUUCGGGUUGUAAACCUCUUUCAGCGGGGACGAAGCGAAAGUGACGGUACCCGCAGAAGAAGCACCGGCUAACUACGUGCCAGCCGCCGCCGUAACAC
rnacentral:rRNA from 1 species